CACGUAGGGCGCAAGCGUUGUCCGGAUUUACUGGGCGUAAAGAGCGCGCAGGCGGUCGUUCAAGUCGAGUGUGAAAGCCCCCGGCUCAACUGGGGAGGGUCACUCGAUACUGAUCGACUCGAAGGCAGGAGAGGGUAGUGGAAUUCCCGGUGUAGUGGUGAAAUGCGUAGAUAUCGGGAGGAACACCAGUGGCGAAGGCGACUACCUGGCCUGUCCUUGACGCUGAGGCGCGAAAGCUAGGGGAGCAAACGGG
rnacentral:rRNA from 1 species